GUUUUCAUUUCUCCCUUUUCACCGGCCGGCCGGCAAACUGGAGCGACACACCCCCACAAUCUGCACAGAAAAAAAGUGAGUGACACAUUCCAAACUACCCAUUGGCUUCUGGCUUGCGAUGGCAGCGGACCAAUAGCAGUGAAUUGAAGGCGGUGCCUUGUGAAUCUCGCCUGGCUGCACGCGCAGGGGAGUGGGGGCGUGGCAUUUUUUUGAGGAAAAAAAGCUAAACAAUCUUUAAUAUUUCAAAUUGACUGUGUCGGCUUUUUAAGUUGUCUCGGCUGGUGGAGAAGUCCAUACCUUAGAAUAGUGGUAACACACGGGGAUCCACUCAAGACAGGCCUGAAUGUAUUUUCUUCCAAAUUUCUGGACGAAAAGGUAUAGAAAGCGGGUAAUCUUUCUUUAGUCACCACUCCGGUCAGACGAUGAAUUCUAAACGUUUGCUUGACAUGUCUCCGGCUGAAAUACUGGUCGGGGGCGCUUCGAAACAAGCCGGUAUUGACCAGCAUGCAGAGGGUUCCAAGGGAAGCGAAAUGAGUGUCACCACUACUGACAGCGGUGUCAUUCUGGCGUGCGGGAGCGGGCCCGCAUCAGGAGCAGUUUUCUGCACAUUCGUGCUAGACGAUGGCACUUUGAGAGAAUGUACAAACCAGGACAUUAUCCUCAAUGGGAAUGACCUGUCGUCAGGGAAAGAAAAAUACGCGCACCGGAAAAUAAUGUGGUAAAGAGGUCAAUGGAACGCAGACCAUGGGGGAUAGAAGAAGGAUGCUGGAUUGGCGCACAGUCAACAAAUCUGAUCUAACAAAGAUGAUAUUCGUCAAAACCGUCAUGAUUGAUGCAUUGUAACAGGCCCACAAUGUGGUUACCAAAGUCCGAUUGAAAUACAUUUGGCUGUUUUCACUGCAUAACAUUUAGAAGUAGUCCAUUUUCAGGUUUAGAAGAAGUGACUGGACUGCUAAAUGCUAACUCCCAUUCGUAUAUCUGGUAGCAUAGCUAGCAUAGAGAAAUCGGUGGUGGGUCAAAGUCAUUUGUAAUGAAGUUGAUUGGUGAUGACAUGAACAUGUAUUGGAUGACAUGAACAUGCUUACAUUCAUACAAGCAAUAUACCGAUUUUUACCCCACCAUAUUGUGAAAUAGUGCAAAUGAUCUUUCCUCUCUACCCAAUGGCAAAAUGUGUA
rnacentral:lncRNA from 1 species